UACGUAGGCAGCAAGCGUUGUUCGGAAUUACUGGGCGUAAAGAGUGUGUAGGCGGUGCUCCAAGUCUGGUGUGAAAUCUCCCGGCUUAACUGGGAGGGUGCAUUAGAAACUGGAAUGCUAGAGGAUGGGAGAGGUAAGCGGAAUUCCUGGUGUAGCGGUGAAAUUCGUAGAUAUUCGCAAGAACACCAGUGGCGAAGGCGGCUCACUGGCCCAUAACUGACGCUGAGGCACGAAAGCGUGGGGAGCAAACAGG
rnacentral:rRNA from 1 species